rnacentral:rRNA from 1 species
UACGUAGGGGGGCAAGCGUUGUCCGGAAUCAUUGGGCGUAAAGAGCGUGUAGGCGGCCUGGUAAGUCCGCUGUGAAAGUCCAGGGCUCAACCCUGGAAUGCCGGUGGAAACUGUCAGGCUCGAGUCCGGAAGAGGCGAGUGGAAUUCCUGGUGUAGCGGUGAAAUGCGUAGAUAUCAGGAGGAACACCGGUGGUGUAGACGGCUUUCUGGACCGAGACUGACGCUGAGGCGCGAAAGCGUGGGGAGCAAACAGG